rnacentral:rRNA from 1 species
AGAGUUUGAUCAUGGCUCAGGACUAACGCCGGCGGCGUGCCUAACACAUGCAGGUCGAACGGGUUUAUAUUAUGUAGCAAUACACGGUAUAAGCUAGUGGCGAACGGGUGAGUAAUACGUAGGUAAUCUACCCUCGAGACGGGAACAACCCAGGGAAACUUGGGCUAAUGCCCGAUGAGCCCACGUCCCGGGAGGGAUGUGAGAGAAGGUGGGGUGCAAAUCUCACGCUUGGGGAUGAGCCUAUGGCCUAUCAGCUAGUUGGUGGGGUAAAAGCCUACCAAGGCGAAGACGGGUAGCCGGCCUGAGAGGGCGAACGGCCACACUGGGACUGAGACACGGCCCAGACUCCUACGGGAGGCAGCAGUGAGGAAUUUUCCGCAAUGGGCGCAAGCCUGACGGAGCGACGCCGCGUGAGGGAUGAAGGCUUUCGGGUUGUAAACCUCUUUUGCGAGGGAAAAAGGUUCACGUGCUCAUACCACGUGAGUUUGAUGGUACUUCGCGAAUAAGCCCCGGCUAACUACGUGCCAGCAGCCGCGGUAAUACGUAGGGGGCGAGCGUUGUCCGGAGUUACUGGGCGUAAAGGGCGUGUAGGCGGUUGAAUAAGUCCGGUGUGAAAUUCCGAAGCUCAACUUCGGAACUGCGCUGGAUACUGUUUGACUGGAGUUUGGCAGGGGUAACUGGAAUUCCUGGUGUAACGGUGAAAUGUGUAGAUAUCAGGAGGAACACCUGUGGCGAAGGCGGGUUACUGGGCCACAACUGACGCUGAGACGCGAAAGCGUGGGUAGCAAACAGGAUUAGAUACCCUGGUAGUCC